CCUACGGGGGGCUGCAGCAGGGAAUAUUGCACAAUGGGCGAAAGCCUGAUGCAGCGACGCCGCGUGAGGGAUGAAGGCCUCCGGGUUGUAAACCUCUUUCAGGAGGGACGAAGCGCAAGUGACGGUACCUCCAGAAGAAGCCCCGGCCAACUACGUGCCAGCAGCCGCGGUAAUACGUAGGGGGCAAGCGUUGUCCGGAUUUAUUGGGCGUAAAGAGCUCGUAGGCGGCUCGGUAAGUCGGCCGUGAAAUCCCGGAGCGCAACUCCGGGAGGCCGGGCGAUACUGCCGUGGCUAGGGUCCGGUAGAGGAGAGUGGAAUUCCCGGUGUAGCGGUGAAAUGCGCAGAUAUCGGGAGGAACACCCGUAGCGAAGGCGGCUCUCUGGGCCGGCACCGACGCUGAGGAGCGAAAGCUAGGGGAGCAAACAGGAUUAGAUACCCGAGUAGUCAA
rnacentral:rRNA from 1 species